rnacentral:rRNA from 1 species
UGGGGAAUUUUGGACAAUGGGCGCAAGCCUGAUCCAGCCAUGCCGCGUGCGGGAAGAAGGCCUUCGGGUUGUAAACCGCUUUUGUCAGGGAAGAAAUCUUCUGAGUUAAUACCUCGGGAGGAUGACGGUACCUGAAGAAUAAGCACCGGCUAACUACGUGCCAGCAGCCGCGGUAAUACGUAGGGUGCAAGCGUUAAUCGGAAUUACUGGGCGUAAAGCGUGCGCAGGCGGUUUUGUAAGACAGAGGUGAAAUCCCCGGGCUCAACCUGGGAACUGCCUUUGUGACUGCAAGGCUUGAGUGCGGCAGAGGGGGAUGGAAUUCCGCGUGUAGCAGUGAAAUGCGUAGAUAUGCGGAGGAACACCGAUGGCGAAGGCAAUCCCCUGGGCCUGCACUGACGCUCAUGCACGAAAGCGUGGGGAGCAAACAGGAUUAGAUACCCUGGUAGUCCACGCCCUAAACGAUGUCAACUGGUUGUUGGGAAGGUUCCUUCUCAGUAACGUAGCUAACGCGUG